rnacentral:rRNA from 1 species
CUACGUGCCAGCAGCCGCGGUAAUACGGAAGGUCCAGGCGUUAUCCGGAUUUAUUGGGUUUAAAGGGAGCGUAGGCUGGAGAUUAAGUGUGUUGUGAAAUGUAGACGCUCAACGUCUGAAUUGCAGCGCAUACUGGUUUCCUUGAGUACGCACAACGUUGGCGGAAUUCGUCGUGUGGCGGUGAAAUGCUUAGAUAUGACGAAGAACUCCGAUUGCGAAGGCAGCUGACGGGAGCGCAACUGACGCUUAAGCUCGAAGGUGCGGGUAUCAAACAGGAUUAGAUACCCUGGUAGUCCGCACAGUAAACGAUGGAUGCCCGCUGUUGGUACCUGGUAUCAGCGGCUAAGCGAAAGCAUUAAGCAUCCCACCUGGGGAGUACGCCGGCAACGGUGAAACUCAAAGGAAUUGACGGGGGCCCGCACAAGCGGAGGAACAUGUGGUUUAAUUCGAUGAUACGCGAGGAACCUUACCCGGGCUUGAAUUGCAGAGGAAGGAUUUAGAGAUA